rnacentral:rRNA from 1 species
ACAGCAGCCGCCACGGUAAUACGUAGGUGGCAAGCGUUGUCCGGAAUUAUUGGGCGUAAAGGGCUCGCAGGCGGUUUCUUAAGUCUGAUGUGAAAGCCCCCGGCUCAACCGGGGAGGGUCAUUGGAACCUGGGAAACUUGAGUGCAGAAGAGGAGAGUGGAAUUCCACGUGUAGCGGUGAAAUGCGUAGAGAUGUGGAGGAACACCAGUGGCGAAGGUGACUCUCUGGUCUGUAACUGACGCUGAGGAGCGAAAGCGUGGGGAGCGAACAGGAUUAGAUACCCGCGUAGUCCCUGUCUCUUAUAC